CGACCGGCGCACGGGUGAGUAACGCGUAUGUAGUCUACCUGUAACAGAGGGAUAACCCGGAGAAAUCCGGACUAAUACCUCAUAGCACAUAUUAUUCGCAUGAAUUUUAUGUUAAAGAGACUCGGUUACAGAUGAACAUGCGUUCCAUUAGCUAGUUGGCGGGGUUACGGCCCACCAAGGCAACGAUGGAUAGGGGUUCUGAGAGGAAGGUCCCCCACACUGGUACUGAGACACGGACCAG
rnacentral:rRNA from 1 species